AUGUACCCUGCAGCCACUGAUUGUGGACACCAGAUUAUAUCAGCUGUGUCGGUGAACCCCUCCUGCAUCUGAACUGCAUGACACAUAGAGGGCACAACAUGAUCAGAGAUAUGUUUUGAUGUGAGAGAGGUUGCCAACCCCCAGUCUCGUCAUCACCACCUCACCCGCUCUUAAAAUAACCUUCAGGCCAACUGGGGGCCCAAGGCUGGUUAGGAGACACCACUAGAGACACUGUUAUGUAAUUGUGAUGACCUGAGAGAAUUGUAGCACUGAAUUGUACCACUGUAAUUAAUUAAUCAUAUGCUGUCUUCCCUGCUCCUCUGUUCUUACCUCUUUCUCUUUCUGUCUUCGACACUCUUUCUCGCACCUCUCUCUCCAGUUUUACAGCACUCUAGCCGAAGCUUGACAUUGCACAUGGUGAUUUAGGCUUGUGUGCGGCUGCUCGGCCAUGGAAAUCCAUUUCAUAAAGCACCCAUUGAACAGGUCUUGUGCUGAUGUUGCUUCCAGAGGCAGUUUGGAACUCGGUAGUGAGUGUUGAAACUGAGGACAGACGAUUUUUAUGCGCUACGCGGUUCAGCGGUCUAAUUCUGUGAGCAAAUUUGGCCUAACACUUCGCAGCUGAGCCGUUGCUGCUCCUAGAAGUUUCCACUUGACAAUAACAGCACUUGCAGUUGACUGGGAUAGCUCUAACAGGGCAGAAAUUUGACCAACUGACUUGUUGGAAAGGUGGAUCUAAUGACAGCCACGUUUAAAGUUACUGAGCUCUUCAGUAUGGGCCAUUCUACUGACAAUGUUUUGCCUCUGGAGAUUGCAUGGUUGUGUGAUCGAUUUUAUACACUUUUCAGCAAUGGGUGUGGCUGAAAUAGCAGAAUCUACUAAUUUGGCCAUGUAUUGUAAAUGGGGCCCAUUUUCUUCAAAGCAAUGCUCCCAUGACUUUUUCAAAGGCAAAACAAUAUUCAGAAAAAUAAAUCAAAACAUGGCCAUAUAAUAAAAUAAAGAUCUGAGAUCGAAGAUCUGGGAUUGAGUUCCUCAUUAAGCCCCCCAAUCUAAAAUAAUUGGACGUAGGAUUAUAUUUCCUAUUUAUUUAUUUUCAGAACCCUUGCAGAAUAAAUUCCUCACCUUUUCUGGCCGUGAUGGUUUCAUAUUCCCGUAGUAACCGUACAACAAAUUAGCAUGCAUCUCUCAUUUAAUUGAGCCUAUAUAAAUAGAUAGGCUAUAUAUUUCUAGUUUUCUGUGUGAUCGCAUACUCAAUGCGGUUUAGCCAACAGACUAAUUUAACAGGUGAACAUCAAGACAGUUGAUCUUUUACUUUGAAGUAUGUCUGCUAUUACUGCAUACCCAGCCCUCACCAUGUCUUGAAACAUUUUGACAAAUGUCUUUAGACAUAAAAAUGAAGACAUCUAUAGACACAUCUUGGAAAUACCAAUGUCUUGAGACAUAAAAAUGAAGACGUCUAUAGACACAUCUAGGAAAUACCAAUGUCUUGAGACAUUAAGGCAUCUUGAGACAUUUUAUAAUUUGUUGUUUUCAUGUUUUACUAGUAAUGAAUACUAUUCAUUCACUCUCUCAUGCACAUUCAUAGCAAAAAUUGUGCUGCUUACCCAAUCACAGUAAUCAAGAUUUAUCCACCUAAUUAUCUUGUCUGGAUAAUAGAUAAUCUUUGGUAUGGCCUCUAUUGUCACGACUUCCGCCGAGGUUGGCUCUCCUGCCCUUUCAGGCGGUGCUCGGCGGUCGUCGUCACCGUCCUACGAGCCACUACCGAUCCCUUUUCGUGUAUCUGUUGGUUUUGUCUGAUUGGUUUCACCUGUGUGUUGUUUAGUUAAUUAGUGUCUGUAUAUAAUGUAGGUUGUCCUGCCCUUGUUUUGUGCGGGAUUGCUUAUUUUGUCAUUCAUUUCGUCUGUCAGUGUUAUUGUGUUUCUUAUUCUCCGGUUAGUCUGUUAUCCUGUGUUGGAUAAUUUCACCCUGUGUGCAUUUGGGUUGACCGUGUUUAUUUUGUUCACCGGAGAAUAAACUUUAUGUCGCUAUCUGCUCUCUGCGCCUGAUUCCACCCACCUUGAUUAGACGUGACAGAAUCCCGCACCACCACGGAAUCAGCAGGAGCAGCAGCGUCUCCUCUCCCAUCGAUGGAAGAGAGGGUCCUCCAUCAUACCAGCGUGCUUCACCGGAUUGGUUCUGCUAUGGACCAAAUGAUGGAGAGAAUGGAUCGAUGGGAGAGGAGUGGCCUCCCCACCUCUUCUCCAGCACCUCCUGUUUCUGUGACCACAUCUGGCUCUGGGGCUCUUCGGCUGACACUCCCAUGGGAGUUUGACGGAUCGGUGGCUGGGUGCCAGGGUUUCCUCCUUCAGCUGGAACUAUACCUGGCUACCGUGCGUCCUGCUCUAUCUGGAGAGGAGAGCGUGUGUGCCCUCGUCUCCUGCUUGACUGGGCGAGCCCUCGAGUGUGCCAACGCAGUGUGGAAUGGUCCGGACUCGGCUAAGGAUAAUUACCCAGAGUUCACCCGCAGAUUCUGAGCUAUUUUUGACCAUCCACCCGAGGGUCGGGCGGCGGGUGAACGGCUGUUUCACCUGCGUCAGGAGACGAGGAGCGUACAGGAUUUUGCCCUAGAGUUUAGGACUUUGGCAGCAGGAGCAGGAUGGAACGACAGGGCCUUGAUUGAUCAUUUUAGAUGUAGUCUCAGGGAGGACGUCCGCAGGGAGCUGGCAUGUCGGGACACCACAUUCACACUGGAUGGACUUAUCGAUCUGGCUAUCCGUCUUGAUAACCUGCUGGCUGCUCGCGGGCGUUCAGAUCAUGUCCUGUUGUUUCCAAUCCCCAGCCCCCCUGUUCCUAUCCCUAUGGAAUUAGGAGGUACGGCUUCGAGGGGGACCGGAGGAGGAGUGUCCUCCUGCACCAGUUGUGAUUGACGAGGGCACAAGUCCGACCAGUGCUGAAGGAACUUGUCUAGGAGUCGGGAGGACAGGCGGAACACUGCUCGAUCACCCCAGGUGAGUAAGCACCAAACUCAUUCAGAGCUUCCUGUCGGUCAUGUGAUUGUAUUGAUUUCUUUCCCUGGGUUUAGCCUGUUCCUUAUAGAUUCACCUGCGUUUCCAGUGGUGUUGGGGGUUCCCUGGUUAGCUCAACACAGCCCAGUGAUUUUCUGGCGACAGGGAGCUCUUAAGGGGUGGUCAGAG